UAAACUUCGUGUUCUUGAAGUUGCUCUGACGCGUGGACGAUGAUAUUAGAGUUCGGAAUUAUUGGUGGCUUACGAUGCUGUAGGCUAACACAGAUCCUGCAUGAGCUGCUAUAGUGCUUAUUAUUAUGAGUUCAAAUUCCUUCCACGGUGAGCUUUGAGAAUGAUCUCGUGUCAGCGAUGUGUUAUGCUGUUACGUGAAUUUAAUUGCUACCAGAACAGUGGUUUUCGGAAAAAAAAAAAGCCAGAAAAACAAGUGGUUGUGCUAUCUUUGACAAGAAAAAAGAUCACAAAAAGAAAGUUCGAGAAGAAAACUCUGUUCACGUUUUUUUAUACGGCUACAUACGGCUACCUCAUUGCUUUUCCUCAGAAGGAAAACACGUGAAAAAAGAAAGUUCGAGAAAUAAGGUAUGAAAAAUUUAUUUGUAUGAUUUUGUUGGAAUGUUUGAUUUUGUCAAUAUGGUAAUGGAGAGGAGGAGAGGAGGAGAGGAGAUUGAUUGGUUUUUGUUUGAGGGAAAAUAUUAGGGUAAAUAUGAGGAUGAUUUUGUUAUAUAGUUAUGAUUUAUGA